UACGUAGGGUCCAAGCGUUAUCCGGAAUCACUGGGCGUAAAGCGUGCGUAGGUGGUCUGUUAAGUGAGAUGUUAAAGCGCGGGGCUCAACCCUGUCGUUGCAUUUCAUACUGGCAGACUAGAGGACAGCAGAGGCAAGUGGAAUUUGUAGUGUAGCAGUGAAAUGCGUAGAUAUUACAAGGAACACCAAUGGCGAAGGCAGCUUGCUGGGCUACUCCUGACACUGAGGUACGAAAGCGUGGGGAGCGAACAGG
rnacentral:rRNA from 1 species